rnacentral:lncRNA from 1 species
CAUUUUUCUUACACACGUAUGCAAGAAGCUGGAAACGGGUAGAAGAUUGGAAAAACCGAGAAAAAGAUAAAGAAAGGGCCGGGGGGGUGGGUGGGGAAAGAGAAGAAGAAGAGGAAGAAGGAAGAUGUAGUGUCUAUUCUUCAAGUAUAAGUUUUCAAUUUCUCCUUCUGCUCAAAAGGUAAGUGAAAGUAUUUUAAUUAAAUUUUUAGGGUUUGUGAACAAUUUGCUUGCAUUUGAAGUUUAGCAAGAAUUAGAGGUUAUUGUCAUAUAUUCGAGGUAUUAAACAUGAAUAUGUCAAAGAAAUUCAUAUUGAAAUAUGGGUGUUGAAGAAAAGUGAAACUUCGAAAAAGGGUUUAUGAAAAAGAUAGUCAUUCUUUGAUUUUCUUGAGAUUAUAUAAUGUCAAGCGUUUAAAUUAAGGAAUUGGGGUUGAUUUCUCCAUUUUUAAGUAAGUAUUAUAAGCAAUUUUUGGACAAAAUCCUACACAGGUGCUGAUUUUGUAAUUUUGCCCAGAAAAGUGUCAUUUUUGUCAAUUGUUUUGGUGAUAAUUUUCAGUGUACAGAAACUGGUUUUACAAUUCCAUAUUAUGGAAUUUUAGUGUUGCUUUUGUCUAGUCUUUGAUUUUCACAUUUUAAGGGUUUGAAUGAAGUUAUAUGACAAAUACUGAAGUUUAUGUAGUAGACUAAAUUAUGUGUCAGGGUUGUAUAAGGUAUUCAAUUUAAGCAAGUGCAAGUGAUUUAAUGGAUUUGAUAAUGAAUGAUGCUUAGUUGAUAAAUCAUUAGAAAGAAGAAAAUUUGGGAAAUUCAUUCAAGUAAUAAGAAAUGGAGAUUCAAGAGAAAAUUUAAAAGUUGAGUAAUUAAGUGGUGACUUUGCAUUAGUUUAAUUUUUAUAUUUUAAUUUGAGUUAUUAUACUGUUAUUUCAGGUAAUGACGUGGAAGUUUAGAGAUGCCCAUUAAUUUAGCCAGACUUUUAUCCAUGGAGCAGUAAGUGGAUACGGACUUUUUUUCAGAAAUUAAUAUUUAUUAAAUUUAUGUUAUAUGAAAAAAUUUAUUAUUUCAUACAAUUGAUUUGACAUCAUAAUUUUUAGAAUAAAGUUGAUUUAUAAACAGUCAUUUUUAAAAUUAAAUUUAGUUCAGUUAAAUCGUUUCAUUGGCAUACUAAUUUAGUAUUAAAUAUUUCAGUAUAGUUAAAGUUAUUUUUAAAAUCACCAGAAAGUACUCAAGUGAUUUGAUCCUAGUCUGUACUGGUGUGAAUGUGUUUCCACAAUGUAUGAUCAGUUAUGGUGAUUUCACCAGCUCUACACUAUUGCAAAUGUGUUUCCAUAGUGUAUGACAAGAAUUACAUAAUUUCAACUCUGCGCGCAUAUGACCAGAAUUUAAGAAUUACAGAAUUGAAUAACUUUCCCAUGUAUAUCGGUACUAACCGAUACAUGAGUAAGGUUAUUCCGAGUACCUUGUUGGUGUGAUUUUUCAAUAUUUCUACAGCUUAUCAAAUUUCAGAUUAUAAAAUUCAAUUUAUUAAGCUUUCAGCUUAUAGUAUUGAGCAGCAGCAAUAUUUCAUAGAUUUUCAUGGUAUUAUAUUAUUUAUAGUCAUUAUAUUUUACAAUUGCUUAUCUAGAAUUAAGAACAAAUGAUUUUAUGAUGCAAUCAUGUUUGGUUUUAAAAGUGUUACCAAAUUUCAGAAUUUCUAAAAGUUUUAGUAGUGCAAGAAUUUUCAGAAAAUAUGCAUAAAUGAGAAAAGUUUACUUAUUUGUAAAAUAUCCACACGCUGAAUUUUAAGCUCAUAUAUUUUUUUUCACCUUUUUCUUUAUCGAACAAAUAGCAGCCGAAUUGAGCAGCUUUGGAGCCUGUCGAACCACCGAUUUGAGCCACUCGUCAUAGGCUGUAUGACAUCCUUUAUCAGAUUAUACAUUAUGUGUUUUUUUGGGAUACAUGUAGUUUAAAUAAGAAAAGUUCAUUAUGGGCUCAUUAAAUAGAUGGUAUUUUUAGUAUAUUUAAGGAUUAUUGGUUAUAGAGCAAGUAAAUGUUGAUUUGCCAACAUUUGAUUUGAAUAGUUUAUAUUUUGAAGAACUGUCUUACCCUAUUCAUAUUAUAAAUAUUGGUUUGAGGAAAAUUGGUUAUUGUUCAGGUGAUUUUAGUUCAUAUUUCAGGGAAAAUUAUGUCAAAAUUUUGCUAAAAAUAUUUUUAAUCAAAUAAGUAAAGGUGCCUUAUUGGUGGGUCCGAGUUCAACUGGUAUCUACAAUCGGCACAAGACACGUGUCGAGUCCACUAAGGUGAUUCGGGAUGGAUCAUGUCGUCCGUCUUGCUUCAAACCCAAAUGAGCAGCAGCAAUAUUUCAUAGAUUUUCCUGGUAUUAUUUUAUCGAAAGCAUUUCUUUCGCUAUUUUAGUUGUUAUAUUUUACUCUUGCUUAUUUGUAGUUAAGGCCAUAUGCUUUUGUGGUUUUGACUACUACAAAACAGCUCCCCCUACAAAAGUAAUCAUGUUUGGUUUUAAGUUUGUUUUCUAUUUUCAGCGUUUCUAGUCGUUUUUGUAUUUCUAGAAUUUUCCGAAAUUGUUUUUGAAUGUGCAAAGUUUACUUAUUUGUUAAAUUUCCUCUCGCUUAUUUUUAGGUUCAUUUCUUUUUUUUCCCCUUUUUUUUUCUGGAUUAACUAGCAGCCUGCUGGCUACCCCAACUGCAUGAGCAGUUUUUGGGCGUGUCGAACCACCGAUUUGAGCCACUCGUCAUGGGUUGUAUUACAUUCCCAACUGUUGAGGAGUAAGAAACUUUUGUCAUUUUUUCUUUUUUUUGUUUUUUUGGGGUACAUGUCGUUUUACUCAGUUUGAAGUGUUUAUUAUGUGCUCUUUCAAUUGGUGGUAUUUUUAGUAUUUUUCAUGUUUAUUGUUUCUAGCGCAAGUAAAUGUUGAUUUGCCAACAUUUGAUUUGAAUAGUUUAUAUUUUGAAGAACUGUCUUACCCUAUUCAUAUUAUAAAUAUUGGUUUGAGGAAAAUUGGUUAUUGUUCAGGUGAUUUUAGUUCAUAUUUCAGGGAAAAUUAUGUCAAAAUUUUGCUAAAAAUAUUUUUAAUCAAAUAAGUAAAGGUGCCUUAUUGGUGGGUCCGAGUUCAACUGGUAUCUACAAUCGGCACAAGACACGUGUCGAGUCCACUAAGGUGAUUCGGGAUGGAUCAUGUCGUCCGUCUUGCUUCAAACCCAAAUUUUACAGAAAUCAUUUCAUCGAAAGCAUUUCUUUCGCUAUUUCAAUUGCUACAAUAUACUCAACCUUAGUUGUAGAUAAGGCAAUACACUUUUGUAGUUUUGACUACUACAAAACAGCUCCCCCUACAAAAGUAAUCAAAUGUUCUGAAGUUGAUUUUCUAUCAUCAACGUCACCAGUCAUAUCUGCAUCUAUACAACCC